ACAUACGACCACAGGGUGCGGAGAACAGGGCUUCCCGUCCGCUCAGCCGUACUUAAGCCACACGCCGGUGAGUUAGUAGUUGGGUGGGUGACCACCAGCGAAUCCUCACUGUUGUAUGUUU
rnacentral:rRNA from 1 species